UAUUUGUCCUGACUUUAACGUCCCUUUUUCUCAUUCUGUGCUUGAUGCAGAUUGUGUUUCUUCGAUGCCUGUCUGCCACGCUGACACCAGCUCCCUCUGUGCUUGCUGCUUCCUUCUUACUCUGCAUGGGCCAUGGCUGCAGUUUAUCCUGGCUGUGGAGGGGCUGGGAGGAGCACAGUUACAUAACUGUUCCCAGUCUCCAGUUGACCUUGAUGUCAAGCAGCGGUCACGUUGUACCAGCCCAGAAAAAGAAGGAGGAGUCUCUGGUCGGCUCUUGAGAACAUUUUAGCUGGAGUUCUAGGACAGAAUGUCGCACAGAAAGGCCAAACCAGACCAAUAAAUUCACUGGAAAGAUUGAAAAGUUUCUGAUUUCUGUGAGAUGGGUGCUGUUGACUUUCAGAGCAAUCUCGUGUCACUCAUCUGCGGGGCUGUCUUCUUCUGCAUGACUCGCUGUUAGUAGGCGAGCCUUUGGCCUCAAUAGCAAGUGCUCCUCGGAAGGUCUUCAGCUUGGAAAGCUCUCAAGGACAGACUCCAGC
rnacentral:lncRNA from 1 species